rnacentral:rRNA from 2 species
GAAGCUUGCUUCUCUUGAGAGCGGCGGACGGGUGAGUAAUGCCUAGGAAUCUGCCUGGUAGUGGGGGAUAACGUUCGGAAACGGACGCUAAUACCGCAUACGUCCUACGGGAGAAAGCAGGGGACCUUCGGGCCUUGCGCUAUCAGAUGAGCCUAGGUCGGAUUAGCUAGUUGGUGAGGUAAUGGCUCACCAAGGCGACGAUCCGUAACUGGUCUGAGAGGAUGAUCAGUCACACUGGAACUGAGACACGGUCCAGACUCCUACGGGAGGCAGCAGUGGGGAAUAUUGGACAAUGGGCGAAAGCCUGAUCCAGCCAUGCCGCGUGUGUGAAGAAGGUCUUCGGAUUGUAAAGCACUUUAAGUUGGGAGGAAGGGCAGUUACCUAAUACGUGAUUGUUUUGACGUUACCGACA